AAUAUUUCACAAUGGGGAAAACCCUGAUGCAGCAACGCCGCGUGAGCGAUGAAGGCCUUCGGGACGUACCGCUCUGUCCUAAGAGAAGAAUAAUGACGGUACCUUACGAGGAAGCCCCGGCUAACUACGUGCCAGCAGCCGCGGUAAUACGUAGGGGGCAAGCGUUAUCCGGAAUCACUGGGCGUAAAGGGUGCGUAGGCGGCCAAUAAAGUCAGGGGUGAAAGGCUACGGCUUAACCGUAGUAAGCCUUUGAAACUUAAUGGCUUGAGUGCAGGAGAGGUAAGUGGAAUUCCUAGUGUAGCGGUGAAAUGCGUAGAUAUUAGGAGGAACACCAGUGGCGAAGGCGACUUACUGGACUGUAACUGACGCUGAGGCACGAAAGCGUGGGGAGCGAACAGG
rnacentral:rRNA from 1 species